rnacentral:rRNA from 1 species
AUACGGAGGGUGCAAGCGUUGUCCGGAAUCACUGGGCGUAAAGCGCACGUAGGCGGUCUUGUAAGUCAUCUGUGAAAUCCCGGAGCUCAACUCCGGGCCUGCAGUUGAUACUGCAUGACUAGAGCUCGGUAGAGGCGAGUGGAAUUCCCGGUGUAGCGGUGGAAUGCGUAGAUAUCGGGAGGAACACCAGUGGCGAAGGCGGCUCGCUGGGCCGUUGCUGACGCUGAGGUGCGAAAGCGUGGGGAGCAAACAGGAUUAGAAACCCCGGUAGUCC